AACGCGACCCCAGGUCAGGCGGGGCUACCCGCUGAGUUUAAGCAUAUCAAUAAGCGGAG
rnacentral:rRNA from 1 species